UACGUAGGGUGCGAGCGUUAAUCGGAAUUACUGGGCGUAAAGCGUGCGCGGGCGGUUCGUUAAGUCAGAUGUGAAAGCCCCGGGCUCAACCUGGGAACUGCAUUUGAAACUGGCGGGCUUGAGUGCGGCAGAGGGGGGUGGAAUUCCGCGUGUAGCAGUGAAAUGCGUAGAGAUGCGGAGGAACACCGAUGGCGAAGGCAGCCCCCUGGGCCGACACUGACGCUCAGGCACGAAAGCGUGGGGAGCAAACAGG
rnacentral:rRNA from 1 species